rnacentral:lncRNA from 1 species
GAAAAACACCAACCAAAUCCCAGUUGAGGAACAUCCUAUAAAAUACCUGACAAAAUACUCCUCAAAAUGGUCAAGUUCAUCAAAAGUAAGGAAAAUAUGAGAAACCAUCACACCCAAGAGGAGCCUAAGGAGACAUGGUUGAUGAUAAUAUUGAUGACGAUGACCCUUGCUACAUUUAUGAGGCAUUUCUAUGUGCCAGGUGUAAUGCUUAUGUCUCACAGUCAUUAUCUAUGUCUUCACAAUGACUACAUGAGGUCCUUCAUGUGAGCACACAGAGGAGAGAACCAGCAACCCCUGUAUCCACUUGAAGGCACGUGCAUGUUGUCCAGAAUCUCACCCCACUUCCAUCAGCCAUCACCUUCCACUGAGAAAGUGAUCCUUGUGCAGUUUCUGUGCCUGAUGUAACUGUUUCCAUAUUCACUUGGCUUCCUAAUUGGGCCUCGUACCUUUUGGAGAAAAAAAAAAUUGAAGUUGCCACCAGCUUGGCAGAAGCUAAAGUGAGAAACCAUGCAGAUGUGGUUUCUGAAGAAGCAAUUGAUUUGUUUCACACUCCACCUACCUUCCUUGAAAAUUAAAAAAGUUCACCGACAAGUGGCAAUUGGUCAGGACCUCAGGAGCGCAAAAACACAGAAAAAAAAUUAAUUUCAAACUGUGAAACUCAGCCAGUGAGAGCUAAUAGCCUCCCUCCCAACACACAGCAUUCACCUUCUAGUAGACUCAAUAGACUUGGUGUGCGUGGGUUUGCUGAUUUUUUUUUUCUUUUUCUUUUUUUUUAAUUGGGGGAAAUCUGUGAAGGCAUAUUCAUCUUACCUUGAUUUCAUCACUCCCUCUACAUGAACCAUACAUCAACAUUUUCCUAAAGGACAGUUUGCAAACCCAUCACCCAGUAUUUCUGCCAACACUGUUCUACCAUGGAACAGAUAGUAGUUGUUCUUACAGUUCUCUCUAAUGGCAGAAACAUAGUAAUUAACCACAUCCUCUCAAAUGUUGGCUGAAUGGCUGGCCCCUAAUUUGUCUACUUUCUGCAGAGGUUUCAGUGUCUCAUGAAAUUUAUUGCCAUACUAAAGUCACCUUUUAAAUUAUGGAUCAUGAUAUUGGUGUGCUGCUAAAAAUGUUCACAGCAUUGUAAUUUUAUGCACUGGCAAUAAACAUGAAAAAUGCAUUCUGAGGUUGUUUAACAUUAAAAAUAAUAUUUUGGAAAGUAAAUUUUAGGAGAAAUUUAGUGCUGGGGAAAAGGACCAUAUUCACAGUCUCAGAGACACAGAUCCACAAUCCAAAGACUACAUUGGAUGGGGACCAAAUCUGCAGCCCAGAUGGGUCAACAGUGAUUAACUUAGCCUAGAUUGGAUUUAGAGGAUGGUGGACUCCACAUUUUCCUGCCAACUCCCAGCCAUCAAGGGGUCCCCAUCAUUGCUCUAUUAAUGGUGGUGGGGUUUAUUUCCAGAACUGGCAAGUGAUUGCUAGACAAUUGGCAGCAUUACAACAAAUCACCUUGUUCAGGAAUAAAAAAAAUAUGGCCCACGAUG